rnacentral:misc_RNA from 1 species
GGGAGGCAGCGCACGGUGCUUCGUCCAUGGCGCACGCGCACAUGAGCCGGCCUAGGGGGGCGCGACGAGGGCUGCUGGUACAAAUAAUGGAGGCUGGAAGAAGGAAAAGAAAAGAGAAUACAGAGAGGGCAUGCUCACCGGAAGAAGAAGAACGCCAGCAGAGAGGUGUGGACGUCGAUGAACAGCAGCGAUACUCCAUGGCGACGAUAGCGCAACAGCCCAGACAUCGAGGGGAGGGCGCGUGUUGCCCUGCGCACGACGAGGAGGCACAGUUCCGACCGUGGCGAGGCAAGGUGCAGCGAGGGCAUGGCGUGGCUGGCAAGUUGUGGGGAGGCGGCGUGCUGGGCGACCAACGUGGAGACAACGAUAGGAGAAGAGACAUGCAGGGUGGAAUGGAAUGAGCGUAGAGAGGAGAGGUUAUGCGCUGCCAGAUGCCUUGCCAGCCCACGAUCGUGGCCAGAAUGAGCGAGGAGGGAGGAGUAGAAAAGAUGACAAGUGGGUCCCGCAGCAGUUUUUUUGCAUGGGAGCGAGCCGCGCGGCAACCAGGCUAGCAG